rnacentral:lncRNA from 1 species
CCUCCUUUUCUUAGCAAAACCACCGUUGACUCCUAAACAGUCGUCAAACCAUGUUAAUCCUACCUAGAUUGCUUGGAUGGUGAGCCACCCAGCAUAAUAUUUCGCGCGCAACUAAUAUCAUACUCCAUCUGUUCAUAAAUAUAAGAUGUUUAUAUAUUUAAAUAUAGACUAUAUGCAUAAUAAAAUAUGUGAACAAACACAUUAAAAUGCGUUUACAUACAUCAGAACUAGAAAAAUAGAGCAUCUUAUAAUAGUGCUCUUUCAAAUUGGCUUUUGUCCCGCUUUAUAAAUAAGACAACCAUCAUAUCCGUACAAGAAGUACCAAAUCACGAAGAAUUAUAGUGUAUUGGGGCAUCAACACACACUGCACCACAGCACUUGAUUGGGGCAGUUAACUGCAGGGAGAAAAACCUAUCUAAGGGCAAAGUAUCGAUGGAGACAUUUAUUUCUGCCGCCACCGCUGUUGGUUAAUGAAUUAUGCUACAGAUUUCUGACCAUUUUCUUGUUUUCAUGGUUGAUCUGAAUAUCAUUACCCAUGGUAUUACAUUAUUGUGUUUGACCCAAGUACUUCUGUCUCCGUUUGCAAGGAUUCUGGAUUGCCAAGGAACUUGCUCCUCGAGUCGCCAUCUCACAGUGAGAAGGAAUUCCAGGGGAAGGGUGAAGAUCCUGUUGGCGACAUCCUCGUUGAUGUGAAGCGCAAAAUUUUGGGGUGCAGUGUCAACAAGAGCCCUAAUUAUGGUAAGCGGUUAAUUUCACUUCUUCUUUUCUUGUAUUCAAAACAGGGUACGAAUUUUUGCUUGCUCUGUCAGCUAUCAAUGCCGAGUUUAAUUUCUUUAAAGUAGAAAGUAAAGAACGAGAGAGAUGAAUGAAAG